rnacentral:misc_RNA from 1 species
CGUGUCAUGGGCAUGCGCAGAUACGCAGCAGGUAGAGGUCAGGCAGCUCUGCACACAAACACAUCUAUAAACGCGCGCGCGUAAGCCACCAACGCGCCGUGCUUGUGUCACAGGCCGAACGUGAUACACCGUCUUGCUUUUCAGUAGCAGUUGUGAAGGUGAUUCCCGCUGCACUCUCAUGAAAGACGCAUCGUCCUUCCUCGAUGCGCUGCUUGCAGCCAAAAAGCUGCAGGCCACCGAGCUCUUCGGUCCGUGGGAUAUGGAGGCAAAUGGGCGGAUUGCCAUUGAGCAGCUCCGGCCGCUUCUCCGUAGCGUUUUUCCAUCCCCGUCGAGCUUAUCACAGCAUGGCUCUGCUAUUGCCGUCGAUCACCUGUCGGCCUCGCAAGUGAAGAGGGCGUUCGAGAGCGUGACGGGGCGACUGUGGGUGCCUCCCCCGUCGCUCGUGACGGCGCCCGCCUCAGCGAAGCAAAGUCGUCGUUGCUUGGACCCGAUGUACCUCGGACCCACGCUCAAUGAGGUGCACGCCAUCAUCGACGUCUUGUGCGGCGGCGAGACGCAGGCAGAAGUGGCAUCAACGCUUGACAGCCGUGACCGUGAAGAGGACGCGUCGACGUGGCUUGUUGCGGCUCGCCAACGACCUUCAUCGAGCACGGCGCCCCUCACGCCCACGACCGACGCCAUCGGGAGCCGCACCGCUGCGAUGAGGGCGGCGCAUCACCCUUCCCUUGCUAAUGACGCGCGGGUGGCCUUCUUGUAUGGUUCCAUGGAAGAGAUCUACCGUGCCUUCUGCCUCGCUGCCGGCUCACCGGGCGAGCCGACGCCCGACACGCUUCCGAUUGAUGCAGCACACCUGGGCCGCAUCGCGUGGAACGUUCAUGCGCAGCGGCUCAAGUUAUGGGAGGGACGCGCGCUACACCAGCUUCUGGCUGCGAAGGCAACCACCACAGCGGCGGAUGCCCACCUCACUCUGGAGGCGUUUGUAGAACUCUUGUGCGCCACGUAAAGAGGGCAGUCCCAGCGCGCGCGUCGGAGUGUGUGCCCGAAGCAUAUGAAGGCAAGUGUACAGUAUCGUUCGAGGAGAAGGUGUGCGACCAGAU